rnacentral:tRNA from 2 species
GGGCGUGUAGCUCAGUUGGUUAGAGCGCGUCACUGAUAAUGACGAGGUCCAUGGUUCGAAUCCAUGCACGCCCA